AGGACUAACGCUGGCGGCGUGCCUAACACAUGCAAGUCGAACGAAGUAGCAAUACUUAGUGGCAGACGGGUGAGUAACACGUAGUCAACCUGCCCUUCAAUGGGGGAUAACUAGCCGAAAGGUUAGCUAAUACCGCAUACGAUCUCUGAGUGGCAUCACUCGGCGAUGAAAGGAGUAAUCCGUUGAAGGAGGGGACUGCGUCCCAUUAGUUAGUUGGUGGGGUAAUGGCCUACCAAGACUCCGAUGGGUAGCUGGCUUGAGAGAGCGACCAGCCACACUGGAACUGAGACACGGUCCAGACUCCUACGGGAGGCAGCAGUGAGGAAUUUUUCCGCAAUGGGGGAAACCCUGACGGAGCGACGCCGCGUGUGGGAAGAAGGCCUUCGGGUCGUAAACCACUGUCGAGGGGACGAUAUUGACGGUACCCUGGAGGAAGCCCGGCUAACUACGCGCCAGCAGCCGC
rnacentral:rRNA from 1 species